rnacentral:lncRNA from 1 species
UUUUACUAAAAAUUAGAUAAAAUUUCAAUUUUGUAACGUUAGAUCCGGCUCUGCUUCCGGGCCUUCACCAUUUGCUUUAGCAGCUUCCGACACCAUGUGAAUGAAUCAUUCCUACAUGCUAUCUUGUAUUUGGUUGGAAGAGAAUAUUGUCUUUAGGCCUCAUUGUCUAAGGUGUGUGUGUACAUAGUUUCGGUAGUCUUGGCAAAGUCCCAUACAAAUAGAGAGAGACGCAAAACAUGAGAAGACAGUAGAUUGUACUAGUUCUAACUAUGAUCUCAUCUCUCUGGUGGUUUUUCUUUUUCUUAUACAGCAUAGCAAGUUUGGUUGGUAGUAAUGAUACAUAUAUGUUUCUCCUAGCUCAUAAUAAUACAAAUAAAAAGGACUCAUCUCAUCUCAUAGUAGAUGUACAAGACAUUACAAUCAAAGACCUGUUGCCUGCCUGCUACGAAACUAAGCAAACUCGCUAUCAUCAUCAACAUGAUAUAUUAUGGAUGUGACUUAGCGAAACGUCCCCUGAUUCUUGUCCUGCUUUCUGCACGAACCUUGCGUGAUUCAUAUCUAAUGUGCUUCUCGUACCUGACAUUUUGAUCAAACACCCCCAGUGUCUAAUUCGUGUGUUUCUAAAUUAAGAAUAAGAGAUGAGGAAGGAGUUAGGUCAAGAAGAUAGUUUACCUUCGAGAUUUCUUCUUGGCUUUGUAGCGAGAGAGAGCAGAGUUUCUCUCAAGACUGUUGAUCUCAUGUGUCAACCUUGUCGUAGUAGUACUAGUGGAAACCGGAACCAUCACAGGCGAUGACUCUUGUUGUUGCUGUUGUUGAGUGCUGCAGCCUCUCUGGUUUACAUUAUUAUCAUCUGAAUACGGAUAAUAGUCUUCUUGUUGAUCCUCGAACCAUUUCAGUCCACCCACCUUAAAAAAAAAAAAAUUGAUUUUUUUUAAAAAAAUUGAGAGACCGACCAGCAGAACUGACCAAUAAGAAGAAAACAGAUGUAGAAGAAACAAAUAAUACCUGAGAUUCAAAUGUAGAAGAAAACAGAUCGUCAUCGUUUCCCGGUUCAAGAAAGAGGAAUCCGGUGGUGUCGAGCUCAGCAUCAAGGGUCUCGUAUUUGAGACAACUAGGCUCGGAUCUCGAGAGUUCACGGAGCUGUCUGAUCAUCUCCUCUUUGUGUCUCCCGCAGGUAGCGUGGCGAUUCUACGACAGAGAGAGAGAGAGAGAGAGAGAGAAAUAAAUAAAUUUUCAAAAACAGAGGAUUCAUUUCUCUUAAAAGAAACAGUUUUUAUUUUUUUUUAAAGAUAAGCAUCAUGAUAUGUACCUUAGGGAGAGGAGGAACAUCCAUGGCCCGGUAAUUGUGACUCGACCCGUCCGAAGCAACCAGAUCGUUAAGGCUAACGAUCUGCGGAGGGGUCUGCUCCGAUCCUCCUCGGGGAUGGGGAAGGAACAGAGCUUUGUCACUGAGGUCAUCGAGGCCCACGAGUGCCAGUAGCUCUGUCACGGAAGGACACCCCGAAAACCCUUCCAAGGGUCUGCGGCUGUGAAGCGAGGAGGAGGAGGUGUGGUGUUGCCAGUCACAGUUCUGGCAUAGCACUGAGCUUUCCGUGUCGCAGAACACGGAAGAGGGAGAGUCGUCGCAGGAGUCGCAGAGGAGUGACCUGAAGUGUUUCGAGAAGAGCUGGUUCGUUACGUGGACUUGAUUGUCGCAGGCGAGACAUAGCUUGGCUGAGUCUGCUUUGCAGUAGACGAGAGCCACCGAGGACUCGCAAUAGUCGCAGAUGCGAUGUUGCUGAUGGGAUCCUUCUUCUUUUUCUUCUUUUUCCAUUUGAGGAGACAGUAGGGCACUCUGUUUUCCUGUGGCAGAGAUGAAGAAGGAGAAAGAAAGAAUCUUCAACCUCUAUCUUCCGAUUUUACCCCUCUCCUUUUCUCUGCUGUUAAUAGUCUGUUUUAGUUUUACUAUACUGCUAAUAAUAAUAAAAAGCCCAUAGAAUGGAAUACUACAAUCUCAUUCUGGGCUGCCCUCUGUUAGCAAAACAGGCCCAUUGAUACUCGCCAUGUGCUUCUUCUCCUUCUCCCUGCUUAAUGCCACACCAUUCCAUUAAAUUCCAAUACUCCAUCUUCUCCCUCGCCAAAAGUCGCUGACCUCGUUAAACCCCUAUCAAUGGCAUUGGCUACAUUUGUUUCUUCUUCUCCCUUCCUUUUGACAUUAAUACUAAUUAUGGUCUAGUGCCAUUUCGAUCCUGCCAAGCUUCACGAUGCAUCAUUUCUCAACGCUAAAGGUUAACACUUUCACAUCUCUUCUCCAUUCAUGAAUCGAAGCUAGAGUCUUUAUAUUACUGCUUGUUUCUUCUUUCAUUUGACUGAUCAGUCUCUGAAUCCGUCCAUGGUUGCUUCCUCUCAGGUUUACUGCGUUUGAUUACUCCCACCUCCCAUGCCAGAAACAAGCAUAGACAGUUUACCAGCGCUAGAAAGCAUGUCUUAAUGGAGAUGAUUCUCUUUUCUCACCUAUGACCCUAGUCGAGUUCAUGAUACGAGAUGGCAAGCUCUUGACAAAUGCUCAUUGUCUCCAACAUGAUACGCCUGUUUACUUCUUCUUCUUCUUCUUUUCAACUUUCUUGAUCAAGUUAAAAUUGAGAGAAGGGGAGAUGAUAGAAAGUAGUAUAUGGCUAAGGUUAGUUUUACCAUCUAUCUAUCAUAGUUACUUCCAAUAUAUAUAUAUGUAUGUGUUUUUAAUAUUUGAACCAUCCACCUAAUUCUCUUACAAAGUGCCUUCACAUUUUGUUAUGUACAGGUUUGACCCAAGGGAUUGGACACUAAAAGCUCUCCACAACAUAUGGGGAAAGCUUUCAGCUUCAUUACUCAAUUCAAUAAGGUCUUGACCUGUUCCAAGUUUACUACAUUCUUUCUUCAUAUCUCUAGGAGAUUGAAUUUGAUAGAAAUUUUGGCAUGACAAUGCCCGCCUUUGUGUUGAGAUUAGUGUGUAAUGAGGAAAAUCAUAGCAUGAAUCUUAGAGCAAAGUCAACAUAUUAUAUACAUUUCAAUAGUGAUGAGAAAUGAAAUGCCUGCUGCUCUUACAUUUUACAGAGAAUCUCUGCUUAUCUUUUUAACUAAACCUAAGAUUAUUGCAGAAACAAGUUAAAGCUAGCACUCACUUCAAUAUUCACUCACGGGUCUCUCUACUUGUUUGUUUGUUUGUUUGUUUGUUUUUAAUUAUUUACUUUGCGUUUUUAUUCAGAAAUCAAAACAAAACAAACACUCCGACACCAAAUCAAAACCCGACAAUUCCACAUUUCAUGUGCUCUGCCCCUAGCAAAAGGUACACAACCAAACCAACCAAUCUUGUCUUUUACCACCUCUAUAGCUGUAUACCUUUUAUAAUUCAGUUUCUCAUCCUUUUUAAUCUCUAAAGGUCUCUCAGAAACAGAGAGAGAGAGAGACUCAUUCACAGAAAGAAAAUCAUGGGCGUCUCUCUGUUCGUUGGCCUUACCCUUCUCUCACUCUGUCUGCCCACUUCAACAUCCGAGCUUCUACAGUUUCAGCUCUCCACCAUAUCAGCUGCACCUUCGUUUUUACCCGAAGCGCCUUCUAGUUUCUCAGCUUCACCUCCGGAGGCUACGUCUCCGGAUAUCUCUCCUCUGUUCCCUACUCCGGGUUCGAGCGAAAUGUCUCCUUCUCCGUCAGAAUCUUCUGCCAUGCCGACAAUCCCCUCAAGCCUUAGCCCACCAAACCCAGAUGCUGUGGCUCGUGAUCCUCUGCUUGACACUUCUCCAGUGGGGUCUCCUCUGCCUGCAUCUUCCUCUGUUUCUUUGGUCUCUUCACCACUCUCUCUACUUCUUGUGUUCCCCAUGUUGCUGCUGCUACCUUUCUCCAGAUUCUCUAGUUAAUCACUUAGAAACUGAGAGUAAGGCCCUCUUGACAUCAACCUCUGCCAGAAAAAAAAAAACAAAAACAAUGUAUUUUUCUUGUAAUUUUGAUAUUAUUAUACCUUUUCUAUUAAUUGUUCGUAUGAAAAUUGUAAUUUUGAUAUUAUUAUAAUUUUGAUUGUUUUUGAGGCACAAAACCCAUAAACACGAGAGUUACAAGUAGGAACAACUGCACCAGGCCAAAUGGCAGAAGAGUACAUCAUGAGCAAUUUUCAUACGAACAAUUAAGGGUUUUGUGCCUCAAAAACAAUCAAAAUUGAUCGAUCGAAAUUAUAAAUAAUAAGUAUCUCACAUGUAGAUGUCUGAAACUGUCGCUUGCUUGUUGUGAUUGAACAAAUAAGACAUGCAUAUUAAGUAGGUAGAGGAUAAUUACGAUAAUCCAGGUUACUAUAGAGCAUGAAACUAGAUGUUUCAAUCUUACAUAAAAAGAGAGUGUUGAAUCAAACACAUAAAGAAAGUAUUGUACACAGUGCUCAUGAGGUUACCAUGAUGGCGCAUUUCCAUUGUAGAACAGCUUCCCGAGGAACGUGUAGUCGAGAUGGAAAAAGCUGAGUUUCUUGAGAGACACACUGGGAAGAAGACGUCUCUUGAGACUCAAGUUCUCGUCCUUGAGGGUCUCAACAGUAAGGGAAAGCUGCCUAAUGACCUCUCUCUUCUCUUCGUCCUUCUCUAGCAGCUGUCUUUUCAAAGCAUCAUUCUCUUGGAUGAGCUUCAACCUUUCUUGUUCCAGUUUCUUCGAAGUGGAGGAGGCGGCUUCAACAUCAUCUUCGUCAGGGUCUUCAAUCUCGGAAUGGGGAUCAUCAAGGAGCUCGGAAAGGGAGUGGUCGAUAGGGGAGGAUUUAAGGUGAUGGAAACGGUGGGCUAAGGAACGGUGAGCACGAUAGAAAUCGUGGACGAAGGCGAUAAGCUCAGGACGUUUCUUGUAGUAUGUCUCGGCUCGCUGCGCAAAAGAAUCGGCGUUACCCUCCUCAAUAAGCGACAACAUGGCAUUGGUCUUGGAAUCAAGCUCUGCAAGUGUGGAAUGGAGCCAUUGAGAAUGCUUAGAGGAGGUCGUCGUCGUUGUCUUGUGAUGACUCUCGAACCACCACCAUCUUCUUUUCUCUUCUUCCUCUCCAACCAUUUCUUCUUCACCAAAACACUUAUCUCUCGUAUAGCCUCUCUCCCUUCUUAUCAGUUGGGUGCGAAUAACAGUAAAUCUGUUUUCAAAUUUUGAAUAUCUCUAUGUCCGCCCCCUUCCCCCCCUUUGUAAAUAUACAGAUUCGAAAAUUUACUCUCUUUUUUUUUUAUUUUUUCCAGAUUUCACGGCAAUCAAUACGUAUGUAUAUUAUGGAUCAAACUCGUAGAUUCUCGGUCUCAUAUCAUAAGCCCAUUAACAUAAUCUUUUUCCCUCUCCUUAAUAAAGCCCAUUAUACAGAGGCAGUCUUCAUUGGACGGAGGCAAUUCCAUACAAAUGGGCUUCAGAAGAUUAAUCAAUCAUAAUGCUCAAACUAAACUAAUAGAGUCCAUCCUCUCUGCUUGCUCAAAUAGUUACAUUACAAAUAGCCCCCCACUUCAUGGGGCCCCCAAUUUAAAAAAAAAAACUUAUAUACAUAUAAAUGUAUACUAUAUAAAACAUAAAAAUGUUAAAGAUAUUAAGUAAAACUAUAUUAUUAGAUAAAAUUUAUGAUUAUUCAUUUUAAGAAUAAGCAUUUACAAAAUAAAAUAUAUAAACCUUUUUUUUAUUUUUACUAAAAAUUAGAUAAAAUUUCAAUUUUGUAACGUUAGAUCCGGCUCUGCUUCCGGGCCUUCACCAUUUGCUUUAGCAGCUUCCGACACCAUGUGAAUGAAUCAUUCCUACAUGCUAUCUUGUAUUUGGUUGGAAGAGAAUAUUGUCUUUAGGCCUCAUUGUCUAAGGUGUGUGUGUACAUAGUUUCGGUAGUCUUGGCAAAGUCCCAUACAAAUAGAGAGAGACGCAAAACAUGAGAAGACAGUAGAUUGUACUAGUUCUAACUAUGAUCUCAUCUCUCUGGUGGUUUUUCUUUUUCUUAUACAGCAUAGCA